UUUUUUUUUUUUUUUUUUUUAGAGACAGGGUGUCAUCUCACUCUGUCACUCAAGCUGGAGUGCAAUGGCACCAUCAUAGCUCACUGCUGCCUCAAACUCCUGGGCUCAGGUGAUCCUCCUGCCUCAGCCUCCCAAGUAGCUAGGACUACAGGUGCAUGCCACCAUGCCCAGGCUGAUUUUAAACUCCUAGGCUCAAGCAAUCCUCCUGCCACAGACUCCCAAAGUGCUGGGAUUACAGGCAUGAACUGCUGCACCUGGACUAUCUUUAAUUUUUCUUAAUGGAGAGAGUAAUACUACACAUAGUUGGUGUAAAGAUUAAAAGAGAUAAUGAAAAGCACAGAGCACAAUUUCCCAUUCACAGUGUGUUCUCCAUAAAUAUUUCUCCCUGCCCACGCUUCCCUCCUAUGCGUUUUUUCCCUUCUGGAGUUGGGGACUCUGGCCCCAGGCCUCAUUUGGGAAGGGAGGAGGAGGCGGUACAGGACUCUGAUCAGUUACUGGCUACGUGGCUGUGGGUAAAUUAUUUAACCUCCCUCUCAGUUACCUUGUCUGCAAAAUGGGAAGACUAACACCUACCUCAAAGGAAGUUCUCAAGGACUACAUGACAUACAGGAUGGGUAUUGCCUGGCACAUCAUAGGUCUGUAAUAAGUGUCUGCAGGAGAACAGAAUGAAGGAACACAAUGCAUACAAUGAAGGAAAAAGCAUUAAAGUAGGAAUCAGACCACAGAAAUGAAAGGAUGUUCACAUAGAGUCCACGGAGCCCAAGGAGCCUCUGAAUAGAGUGCGGAAGGUUCAUAAUUUACAUGGGAAAAAUCACAUCCUUGGUAUGCAUUACCUCCAACUGAAAUUCAGUAUUUUCUUUCAUCAUGCAUAUUGGCAAGAAAACCCACGAUAGUAUUAGUAGUACUUGUGACUUUGUCACCAAUAGAAAUCACAGAUAUUUUCAUAUUGUAUUACAGCAGAGACAUAUUGAAAUACUAGUUAUUUUCAUUCACCACUUCAAAAGUAUAGUAAUUAAUAGACUCAUCUCUAGAUCUUACUGACACUUUUUAAAAACUAGGACUAAAUCAUGAUUCAAUAUAAUUGGUAUCCCUUGUAACCCUAAAUAAUUUUUUUUUUCUAGUCAAAAGCAUUAUUUGUGGCCUGGUGUGGUGUCUCACACCUGUAAUCCCAGCACUUUGGGAGGCUGAGGUGGGCAGAUCACUUGAGGUCAGGCGUUUGAGACCAGCCUGGGCAACAUGGUGAAACCCUGUUUCUACUGAAAAUACAAAAAUUAGCCAGGCGUGGUGACGCGUGCCUGUAAUCCUAGCUGCUUGGGAGGCUGAGGCAGGAGAAUCACUUGAACACUGGAGGCGGAGGUUGCAGUGAGCCGAGAUUGUGCCACUGCACUCCAGCCUGGGUGACAAAAUGAGACUCCAUCUCAAAACAAAAAACAAAAAACAAAACAAAACAAAAAAAACAUUAUUCUGAAUAGGGGUUCACAGGUUUCAUCAGACUGCCAAGGGGUACAUGUGAGACAGACAUGGGUAUCAGCCCUGCCUGGGCCAUUGAUCGCUGUGUGGCACUGGACUUGUUAUUUCAGGCACAUUCACCCCUGCUUGGCUCACCCCAGAGGACUGUUGGGAGGAACAAAUUACUUCUUGGCUGGGAGAGGGUUUUGGAAAUUGUUGGAGGCUUCCUAGUUUUGCCAAAAGCCAGGGCAGAGUGCUUUCUUCCUCCCAGCUGAUCUCCAGGCCUCCAGGAAGCCACUCCCUCCCAGAGCAUUCCUCCCCUGUACUCUCCAUCUGAUAAAUAA
ensembl:lncRNA